rnacentral:rRNA from 1 species
GGACGGGUGAGUAAUGCCUGGGAAAUUGCCCUGNUGUGGGGGAUAACCAUUGGAAACGAUGGCUAAUACCGCAUAAUGUCUACGGACCAAAGAGGGGGACCUUCGGGCCUCUCGCUUCAGGAUAUGCCCAGGUGGGAUUAGCUAGUUGGUGAGGUAAUGGCUCACCAAGGCGACGAUCCCUAGCUGGUCUGAGAGGAUGAUCAGCCACACUGGAACUGAGACACGGUCCAGACUCCUACGGGAGGCAGCAGUGGGGAAUAUUGCACAAUGGGCGCAAGCCUGAUGCAGCCAUGCCGCGUGUAUGAAGAAGGCCUUCGGGUUGUAAAGUACUUUCAGUCGUGAGGAAGGCNNUGNNGUUAAUAGCUGCGUCGNUUGACGUUAGCGACAGAAGAAGCACCGGCUAACUCCGUGNCNGCAGCCGCGGUAAUACGGAGGNUGCGAGCGUUAAUC